CUCCUUGAGAGUCCUGAAGGAACGUUGAAGACGACGACGUUGAUAGGCCGGGUGUGUAAGCGCAGCGAUGCGUUGAGCUAACCGGUACUAAUGAACCGUGAGGCUUAACCUUACAACGCCGAAGGUGUUU
rnacentral:rRNA from 1 species